UUUUGUCCAGCAUUUGAAAGCUGUAGACUCUCUGUCCAGUCAGAGACAUAUAUUGUGUAAUUAGGGUUUUCAGUUCAAUUAAUUAAAUCCAAGUAAAUGGAACACUCACAAGAUGUCACCAAAAUCACUGUCCCCUUUAAAUCUUUCAGAAAAUGAUGUAAGGGUAUCGAAUUAUAUCGAAUCGUAUCGUUGGCUGAAUAUUGUGAUAUAUAUCGUAUCGUGAGCUGAAUGUCGUGUAUCGUAUCGUGAGAUUAGUGUAUCGCUACAGCCCUAUAGCUAACGUUAGCAGAUAAGCCCAUUGACAGCAACGGUAUUGUUCAUAUUUAUACACAAUGACAAAUAAAGCAAACUUGCUAAAAAA